rnacentral:rRNA from 1 species
GGGCCCGCACAAGCGGUGGAGUAUGUGGUUUAAUUCGAUGCAACGCGAAGAACCUUACCAGGGUUUGACAUCCUGCGAAUCUCUUGGAAACGAGAGAGUGCCUUCGGGAACGCAGUGACAGGUGGUGCAUGGCUGUCGUCAGCUCGUGUCGUGAGAUGUUGGGUUAAGUCCCGCAACGAGCGCAACCCACGUCGUUAGUUGCCAGCAUUUAGUUGGGCACUCUAGGGAGACAAACCCUCUCUGAGGGUGGGAAGGUGGGGACGACGUCAAGUCAGGAUGGCCCUUACGGUUUGGGCUGCACACGUGCUACAAUGCCUGGUACAGAGGGAAGCAAUACCGUGAGGUGGAGCAAAUCCUCAAAACCAGGCCCAGUUCGGAUUGUAGUCUGCAACUCGACUACAUGAAGUUGGAAUCGCUAGUAAUGGCGCAU